AAAAAAAAAGAAAAAGAAAAAAAUGAAGUCCUCAAAUUCGAUGUUUGACAUUGACAACUCAAAAUGGUCUUCUCUGAAUAUUUAUCAAGUUACCAAAUCAUUCAUAGAUGCCAUCAAAUACUUGUGCUUCAUGGCCGGAGAUCUGUUGCAGUGGGAGCAGCUUGUUUGAGUUGGUUCAAAUAAGAAUCAGAUGUGAGGCCAACUGAGCUCAUCCCAUUAAGCAAUAUGUGCUGAGCUUCAAUAUUAUAUUCUAUAUUUUUGUAUAGAAUUACCUUUUGGUUGGCUGCCCUUCUGUUGUAAUUAUGUUCCAGAUAGAAGCUUAAUUUUUCCCAUGUCUAAUUUGAAUUUUACUUGUUAUGGUGCUAAAUCUUUAGCAGGUCAUUCAAUUUCUAGAUAUAUUCACUUAAAUUGUACGUUGUAUCAUUUACUUUAGAGAUUACUGUGGUCAUUCUAUCUUUUGUAGGCCGACCCACAAAGCAUAUAACAUUUUGCUUCAUGCCUUUGCAAUCUCGGGAAUGGUGGAGCAAGCUAGAACGGUGUUCAAGAGCAUGAGAAGAGAUAGGUAAAUUUUUCUUGGUCUGCAACCAAAGUUGCAAGAUGCACUUCUAAGAACUUAUAAUUUGCAUUUUACCUAUAUUUUGUAGUUAGGAGUGGAAAUUUGAGUUGUCAGGUUGUUUUCAUGUCAUAUCAUAAUUAGGGUUGACAUGAACACGACACAAUUAAUGAAUCAUGUC
rnacentral:misc_RNA from 1 species